UUUGUACAGCAGAUCCAAGUUGUGCCUUGAAAACAGGAAAGUCGUCUGCAUAGAGGAGAACUUUAAUAGCAGGCUUGUACAAAGUGAGGCGUUGUGCUCACAUUUGCUGCAAACACUCGUUUUAAUUCUGUUACCCUGUUUUGAUGCAGAAUUCACUUGAAAUCACGUAAGAACGGGACUUUUUUUAUAAUGUGUUCUUGUGAAUUAAUUGUGUAUUGCAUACAUUUGAUUUGACUUUCUGCGAGACAACAGUCGUCCGCUGGCUAAAAAGGUUUUCCAAAUACCUCCACGUGAUCAAGCCUGGAUUUAGAAAAGAACAGCAAAAAAAUCUGCACCUCCUGCUUCACAUGCAAUUUAUGUUUGUGUGUUCAGAGGUAGCGGCGAGAGGUGGGACCUCGACUCAUCCAGCUGGAGAGCCUGAUCAGGAGGCGUCGAACAUUAACUCUGCUCUUCCAGGGCACCCUGCAGACUCGGCUGCUGGCAACAGCGAGGGAGUGUGGCCGUCGCUGGGAUGGCGUGAACGCCAAACAGGAGUCCAUCACAGGUCGACUGCAGCUCCUUGUCUCAGAGUGGGAGGGAUUUGAAGCACAAAGGGAGGACCGUGUCGUUUGCUUGGCUGAUAUGGAUGUCCACCUGAGUGAGGUUGACCAGCUGACAGGAAACACCUGUGAAAAGCUGAAACAACUGCAGGUGUUGGG